rnacentral:rRNA from 1 species
AGGACGGCCUUCGGGUUGUAAACUGCUUUUACCGGGGACGAAACGGACGGUACCCGGCGAAUAAGCCCCGGCUAACUSCGUGCCAGCAGCCGCGGUAAGACGGAGGGGGCAAGCGUUGUCCGGACUCACUGGGCGUAAAGAGCACGUAGGCGGCAGGAUGCGUCGGCGCUGAAAGCGCCCGGCUUAACCGGGCGAGGUGCGUCGAUACGAUCCCGCUCGAGGCAGUCAGAGGUUAGCGGAAUUCCGGGUGUAGUUGUGAAAUGCGUAGAUAUCCGGAGGAACAUCUGUGGCGAAGGCGGCUAACUGGGACUGACCUGACGCUGAGGUGCGAAAGCGUGGGGAGCGAACCGGAUUAGAUACCCGGGUAGUCCACGCCGUAAACGAUGUCGGCUCGGUGUUUGGGGAUGAGUACCAUUCCUGAGUGCCUCAGUAUACACGGUAAGCCGACCGCCUGGGGACUACGAGCGCAAGCUUAAAACUCAAAGGAAUUGACGGGGGCCCGCACAAGCAGCGGAGCGUGUGGUUUAAUUCGACGCAACACGAAGAACCUUACCCAGGUUUGACAUGCUUCUGCAAGCCCACGGAGACGUGGGACCUUAGAGGGUGAAGCACAGGUGCUGCAUGGCUGUCGUCAGCUCGUGUCGUGAGAUGUUGGGUUAAGUCCCGCAACGAGCGCAACCCUCGCUGCCAGUUACCAGUGUCUGGCGGGACAGCCGUCUAGAGAGACGGAGGAAGGCGGGGAUGACGUCAAGUCCGCAUGGCCCUUACGCCUGGGGCGACACACACGCUACAAUGGCCGGGACAGUGCGCUGCGACCUCGCAAGAGAGAGCUAAUCGCCAAACCCGGUCUCAGUGCAGAUCGGGGGCUGCAACUCGCCCC